UCACAAACGCACACACGGGAGAGAGAGAGAGAGGGAGAAGGAGAAGGAGAUGGAGAUGGAAAUGGAGAUGGAGUGCGUUCAAUACUAUUGGCGCUACCACUGCCGCCGCCACCGCUUCCUUCCUCGCCGCCCUCUCUCUCUGCUCCUAUUCUCUUCACUGGUCGUCUACUUCGUAUUCUCCACUCUCGUCAUCGGUUCCAAAAUCCUAACCCUACCUUCGAUCUUCUCCAAUCCCUCCACAAGCCAUAUUUUCGAAUCCAGACCCUACACUCCCCUUAACUGUUUUAGAACCUUUUGUCUGCAAAGGACUACCGUCGGACUCGUCAGAACGGUAAUCUCGAACGGGCUGAUUGCGAUGAGAAAGAUUAGGUGGCGAUGCACAUUAAUGCGUCAGAAACGAAAUCGGAAGAUUGACAGUUCAUCUUUGCCCUAAUUUUUCUCUCCAUUUCUGUUCAAUCGACCCCUCGAUCUUCUCUGAUCAGAACUCUGCACCAGAUUUGUUGGUUCAGUCCAGCUCUAGGUUCAGCCUUAAGGGAUGAAGUUGAAUUGUUGAAUACUCAGUGUCCUCAACAUUUGGAGCUGGGAUGGCAGACAUAAGUUAGUUCUAGUGUAAAUGCUACCCCCUUGAUUGCUGAUAUAAACAGUGACGGAAAGCUCGAUAUAGUUGUUCCGUCAUUUGUUCACUACCUGGAAGUCCUUAAAGGUUCUGAUAGAGAUAAAAUGCCAGGUAUAACUUGUUAUUGGUUAUGUGUGAAAAGCCAGAGUUGGAAUAUGAAUUUUCCUUCUCAUUGCAUUAUGUUAAAUUAGAAGCAUUUAACUCAUUAUUUUCUAGUCUAGUGAGAACUUAGAAGUACAAGAGCAUGAUGAACUUCAGGUUUUCAUGUUUUUAAAAUCAUUAAUCACUAAGGUUUUAAAUCGCGGUAUUAGGACACAUAAUGGUAAUGGUUCCAAACAAUAUGCAUAUUGUUCUGUGAAUCGACCUUGUUCUGGUCUUUGCAUCUCCAGGUAGGAAGUUACAUGCGAAUGCAGAAGAUCGCGAAUGCAGAAGAUGAUUCCGAUGAAAAUUUAAAAGUUUGCAUUAUGAUAUAUGUUUUGAGUUCUCAAUGUUCUUUCACAAACUAAGCUUUAGAUGUUUUGCUUUCUUAAAAUGUUUUGCAGGAUAUGAAGCUCCAAAUAUGAGGUAUGCUGAAUUGUUACUAUUAUCCGUUGUUAGUAAAAUAUCGUAGUUGGUGUUGUUUUUAACUUGCAUAUUUACCCGCAGACCAUCAGAUACUACCUAAGAAAGUUUUUGUUUUGAGAUUUGGUGUUGGACCUGUUGGUGUUAAUAUUUUAUUUUUUUAAUCCUUUUGACU